GACGAACGCUGGCGGCGUGCUUAACACAUGCAAGUCGAACGAAAACUCCCUGCUUUUUGGGGGGCCUCGAGUUGCGACGGUGUGACCUACACUUGGGUUCUCUACCCCUCCCUGUGAGAUGACUUCAUAACUGUUUGUCUUAUCCCGCAUAAGAUUUCCCGCCUUAUGGUGGGCGUGGGAAAGUUUCGGCGGUUGGGUGUGGACUCGCGGCUUAUCAGCUUGUUGGUGGGGUAGUCUCUAACCAAGGCCAGGACGGGUAGCAGGCCUGGGCGGGUAACCGGCCAAACUGGGACUGAGAUACGGCCCAGACUACUACGGGAGGCAGCAGUGGGGAAGAUUGCACAAUGGGCGGAAGCCUGAUGCAGCAAAGCAGCGUGGGGGAUGACGGGCUGCGGGUUGUAAACCACUUUCGUCUGAGAAGAAGCGAGAGUGACGGUACCGGGAGAAGAAGCACCGGCUAACUACGUG
rnacentral:rRNA from 1 species